rnacentral:rRNA from 1 species
UACGUAGGUGGCAAGCGUUGUCCGGAAUUAUUGGGCGUAAAGCGCGCGCAGGCGGUCCUUUAAGUCUGAUGUGAAAGCCCACGGCUCAACCGUGGAGGGUCAUUGGAAACUGGGGGACUUGAGUGCAGAAGAGGAAGCGGAAUUCCAUGUGUAGCGGUGAAAUGCGUAGAGAUGUGGAGGAACACCAGUGGCGAAGGCGGCUUUCUGGUCUGUAACGUGACGCUGAGGCGCGAAAGCGUGGGGAGCAAACGG